GGCCGGGGCGAACAAUGCCGCGGGCGGCCCCGCUCCCCGCCGCCCGGCCCCCGCCGCCGCAGCGCCUCCGAAGCCGAGGCGGAGGGGGGAAGACGUGGAAAGAAGUGCUUAGAAUAACUGCUCCUAAUAGCCUUUAAUACAGACGUUUGGGAUCCUCAAGUGGAAGCCUAACAGAAGAUACUAGGAUCCGUUCCUUGUAGCAUCUCCUCCUCCUUCCCUGAAGAUAAUCAAGGACAAGGUAGCACGAGGUAAUUAGCUGCAAGUAUCAUUAGCUGCCUGAAUCAUCUCCAGGACUGAUACUGAGCUCCUGCAGGCAGCCCUGGCUUACAAUUGGUGACUCCCAGGGAAGAUAUUUCAACACAAGAAAGAGGCCCUACACUGGGGAAGAAGGAGCCAUGCAUAUUAAUGACUACUCUUGUCCUGCUGAUAGGAGAACUCCUCGGUAUUUCCAGCUCCAUACUUCUGGGGUAAAGCAGCUUACCCCAGAAGGAAUACCAGCUUGUUGCUUUGACCUCUGUCUUUUACUUUUCGGUUUAUCGACAAAUAGCACUGUUGUCUCAAAAAGCUUCUGUUUAUUAACGUUAGAAAAAAAAUGUGUCUAUUUUUAGAUAAAUACUUAGGGAGUAUUCACAUCAAUGGAAGUAAAUAAUUUCCCUGUAUUUGUCAUUAAUAACAUUGAUGGAUAAAGCAUUGUAUUGGAGAUGGAAAAAUCUGAGUUUUGCCCAGCUGGCUUAUACUCCAUUUUACUAUAUUAUUGAUGUCAAUGCCUGUUUUGAAACUGUAAAGCAGUUUCAAAGAGGCAAGCUCAUAAUUCCCUUAGAUAUUUCCACGAUGUUCUAAUUCUCAAAUAACUCAGUACUCCUGAAAAUGACACUUAAAUAUGAAGUUAAGAGUUUAACUUUAGACAAUGGAGUUAAUCAUUUUCUCCAUCUGUAAAAGAAAAUCUUCUGGGUUGUUUAUAAAGCAAUUUUAUUUUCUUGGAUAAGAGGCUCUGCAUGUGCUACAAAUUCUUAUUUGCUACCAUUUAACUGGUUGCCAUUUUUGCAUUUUACACAGUAAGUCUUCACAUAUAACAUAAAAUAGCAGGGCAACAUAGACAAUAAAACCGAUUUUAUACCUAAAUAUAGUCAAAUUCAGUAGAAAUUUUUCAGAAUGUAUAGAAUAAUGUUAGAAAAGAAUUUUACAAUUGUCCAUGAAAAAAUAAUUGUCUUUUGUUUUGUACAUCUAAUUUCCAUUCAAGUGACACAUAUAAGAACAUAUUAUUAAUCCUGAUGCAAACCCAUGAAUCUUGUCAAUACUUAUCAGGGUGUGAAAACCUAGACGCCGCCGUUGUUACAAUGAAGAAUAUGGCUCACACGUAAUUUCACACUUACUUUAAUGCAUUAAUACUACUACAUCUUACCAGUAGGCAGCACUGUUACAUCUUUUUAGAUGUUAGCAAUGUUAAUGACAUUCAGUGCCAUCUGCAACUUUCUACAUAAUAUCUGACCUUUACUUCCAUUCAACCCUCAUUAUUUUUUCUUCACGCAGUGUUUCUAUCUCCCAGAUUUUAUUUCAUAAAAGAAAAUAAGAAGAAAAUCAAAAUGCUUGAAUAUUUUUUAGCACAUCAAAAAUGGGAAAUGGAUAUUGGAAUGGUAUAUUGGAUUGAAUUAAUCAAUUACCAUAACUGUCACUAUUUAAAAUGUGGCAAUAUCUAUAUCAAAUGAUGAAUUACCUUAGGCAAAUAUCUCAGUAACAUAAAUGAUUCAUUUUAGUAUUGAUUUGAUCAUUUAGAUCUUUAAGACACUAAAAGAAAAAAAAUGAUAGCAUAAACAAUGGUCCUGAUCCUGAAAACCCUUAUUUGAAUGAACAAAUCAUGAGCCUUCAAUUAUGAGUUGGACUGUCCUUCUCAAGGACUUAAACUGUAAAAUCCAGAACAAAUUAGUGUUAUAAAAAGAAUAAUCUGUUGUUAUGACUGUUUUAUAGAUAGCCUCAUAAUAUUUUUACUUGGCUUUCUUUAGUUUGUUGCACAAAUAUGCAUAAUACCCUAAUAACUGAUAAUUUUCAUUUUUUCCAUUCCGUAGAGUUUUUAUCAUCGACUAAUUGGACUUUGAUCUUACAUUCACUAAAAAUUAAAAUUCAACGGUGAGUUCAAUGGGAUUUUUGAAUGUACAAGAAAGGAUGAAUUUUGUGUCGAAUAUACAUGUACCCAGCUGCAAAGGUUACUGGCAGGGGUUAAUAAGUAUAUUUGCAAAGCACAGAUAAUGAAUACUUAUAUUAGAAUAAGUAUCUAUUUUAUAUAAAUAUGUUAUAAAUAUAUAUAUACACAUAUGCACACGUGCUCACAGACACACACAUAUUUAUAUGAGCAAAAGUUUAAAAAUAAAUAGUAUUCUCUUAGUUCAUUGGUAAACAAUCCAUACUAGCUUACACAUCUGAGCAGUACCAAAGAUUUUUUUCCACUUUCUGUCCUACUUUCACACCAAAAUUAUAAUUUCAUAUUUCAUAAAAAGGCACAGAAACGUAAAAUGGGCCAACAUCAAAAUAUAACAAGGAAGCAAAGAUAAAUUAGAGGAAUUCUUUGGUUCUUUCACUAACUAAUCAGAGAUAUACAGAAAAGGACCUUUUAAGUUUAAUGAUACCUGCUCAUUAAAUGAUGCUAAACACUAAAAUACCACGAACAGCAGGGAAUUUCAGUUUACAUUAGAGAAAAAAAUAAAAGGGUAAAAAUGACUGAAGUUGGUCAGUUCAAGCUGAUAGGGCACUUCAAAUGAAUAACAGAAGAAUAAAAGAGACACUCUAGGUUAAAUUAGGUUCUCCUAUGCCUUUUCUUGAAAGUGCUUAACUUCACAAAUUUUAUUUGAAUUAACUAACCUGCCAAAAUCAAAGACUUGAAUAGGGGUAAAGUUAAACAAGCAACUAUACUUCACAGUAAGUUUACCCAUUAAACAGCAGAUAAAACCUCUGCAUAAGAAAAGAUGGGGGAAACAGUUUCAGAAUGUGCAUUUUUUCCUUCACUAGUCAGGGAAAAUGUCAUCCCUUUCAUACUCUUGAAGUAACGCUGUACUUUAGAAUAAAAUUAUUCAGAUAUGGAACUUAAUUCUUCUAGUACUUUAUUUGUAAGAUUUCUGUUUUUCUAAGUUCAGCACAGUUUUCCUUCCAUCCACUUGAUAUAUGUAAUACUUGAGUAUUACCAUUUUAGUAUGGCUUUAGAGAUAUUACAGAAUUAAUAAUACAGUAUUACCUGACUAAUAACAUUUGCAAAUACACCGUAAAACAUUUAAAGGAAAAUAAGCAAUUUGAAGAAAUUGUCAAGGUUGGGAAAAACAAAACAAAAAGCAAAAGGGUUGUAAAUAAGAAGGCUGCUUCAAAUCUUUCUCAAAAACACAUGAUAUCCUCUAUGUUAAUUUCCUUGGAAGGUGAUUGUAUUUAUAUUAAAAAGAAUAAAAGAGGAGAAUUCC